AACGAACGCUGGCGGCAGGCUUAACACAUGCAAGUCGAACGGGUGUAGCAAUACAUCAGUGGCAGACGGGUGAGUAACACGUGGGAACCUUCCUAGGGGUACGGAACAACUCAGGGAAACUUGAGCUAAUACCGUAUACGUCCGUGAGGAGAAAGAUUUAUCGCCCUUAGACGGGCCCGCGUCGGAUUAGGUAGUUGGUGGGGUAACGGCCUACCAAGCCUACGAUCCGUAGCUGAUCUUAGAGGAUGAUCAGCCACACUGGGACUGAGACACGGCCCAGACUCCCCCGGGAGGCAGCAGUGGGGAAUCUUGGACAAUGGGCGCAAGCCUGAUCCAGCCAUGCCGCGUGAGUGAAGAAGGCCUUAGGGUUGUAAAGCUCUUUUACCAGGGACGAUAAUGACGGUACCUGGAGAAUAAGCCCCGGCAAACUUCUUGCCAGUAGCCGCCGUAAAAC
rnacentral:rRNA from 1 species